rnacentral:rRNA from 1 species
AAGUCGGACGGGAUUCAGGGAGUAGCUUGCUACGAGCUGAUGAGAGUGGCGCACGGGUGCGUAACGCGUGAGCAACCUACCCAUAUCAGGGGGAUAGCCUCUCGAAAGAGAGAUUAACACCGCAUAAUAUCAUUUACCGGCAUCGGUUUAUGAUCAAAUAUUUAUAGGAUAUGGAUGGGCUCGCGUGACAUUAGCUAGUUGGAGGGGUAACGGCCCACCAAGGCUACGAUGUCUAGGGGCUCUGAGAGGAGAAUCCCCCACACUGGUACUGAGACA